ACCUACGGGGGGCAGCAGUAGGGAAUCUUCCACAAUGGACGAAAGUCUGAUGGAGCAACGCCGCGUGAGUGAAGAAGGGUUUCGGCUCGUAAAGCUCUGUUGGUAGUGAAGAAAGAUAGAGGUAGUAACUGGCCUUUAUUUGACGGUAAUUACUUAGAAAGUCACGGCUAACUACGUGCCAGCAGCCGCGGUAAUACGUAGGUGGCAAGCGUUGUCCGGAUUUAUUGGGCGUAAAGCGAGUGCAGGCGGUUCAAUAAGUCUUAUGUGGAAAGCCUCGGGCCAAACGGGAGAUU
rnacentral:rRNA from 1 species